GACGAACGCUGGCGGCGUGCCUAAUACAUGCCAGUCGAACGCUGAAGGAGGAGCUUGCUUCUCUGGAUGAGUUGCGAACGGGUGAGUAACGCGUAGGUAACCUGCCUGGUAGCGGGGGAUAACUAUUGGAAACGAUAGCUAAUACCGCAUAAUAGUAGAUGUUGCAUGACAUUUGCUUAAAAGGUGCAAUUGCAUCACUACCAGAUGGACCUGCGUUGUAUUAGCUAGUUGGUGGGGUAACGGCUCACCAAGGCGACGAUACAUAGCCGACCUGAGAGGGUGAUCGGCCACACUGGGACUGAGACACGGCCCAGACUCCUACGGGAGGCAGCAGUAGGGAAUCUUCGGCAAUGGACGGAAGUCUGACCGAGCAACGCCGCGUGAGUGAAGAAGGGUUUCGGAUCGUAAAGCUCUGUUGUAAGAGAAGAACGAGUGUGAGAGUGGAAAGUUCACACUGUGACGGUAGCUUACCAGAAAGGGACGGCUAACUACGUG
rnacentral:rRNA from 1 species